rnacentral:rRNA from 1 species
CGUGUCGUGAGACGUUGGGUUAAGUCCCCUAACGAGCGAAACCCUUGUCUUUAGUUGCUAACGGGUAAUGCUGAGCACUUUAGAGAGACUGCCGUCGUUAAGACGGAGGAAGGUGGAGACGACGUCAAGUCAUCAUGGCCCUUAUGUCCCGGGCUGCACACGUGCUACAAUGGUCGGUACAAAGGGAUGCUAAGUCGCGAGAUGGUGCGAAACCUAUAAAGCCGAUCUCAGUUCAGAUUGGAGGCUGAAACUCGCCUCCAUGAAGUUGGAAUCGCUAGUAAUCGCGGAUCAGCUACGCCGCGGUGAAUAUGUUCCCGAGCCUU